rnacentral:rRNA from 1 species
UGAGGAACCCACCCCGGAGACCGGGAUAACCCUCCGAAAGGAGAGCUAAUACCGGAUGUCCUCAUCGGAUCGCAUGUUCUGAUGAGGAAAUGGAUUCCGCUCCGGGACGGCCUCGCGGCCUAUCAGCUAGUUGGUGAGGUAACGGCCCACAAGGCGGCGACGGGUAGCUGGUCUGAGAGGACGAUCAGCCACACUGGGACUGAGACACGGCCCAGACCUCCGUACGGGAGGCAGCAG